rnacentral:rRNA from 1 species
UACAGGGGGGGGCAAGCGUUGUUCGGAAUUACUGGGCGUAAAGGGUCUGUAGGUGGCCAACUAAGUCAGACGUGAAAUCCCUCAGCUUAACUGUGGAAACUGCUUGGUAUACUGCCAGUCUUGAGCCACUUAGGGGCUACCGGAACAAAUGGUGGAGCGGUGAAAUGCGUAGAUAUCAAUUUGGAACGCCAAUGGUGAAAACAGGGUAGCUGGGGAGUGAUGCUGACGUGGAGACACGAAAGCCAGGGGGAGCAAAACGGGGA